GCUGUGGUGUUCGAGUGGUUAAGAAGAUGGACUUGAAAUCCAUUGGGUUUUUCCCGCACAGACUCGAAUUCUGUCCGCAGCG